rnacentral:rRNA from 1 species
CCGGUCUGAACUCAGAUCACGUAAGAUUUAUUUGGGCGAAACAGACCAACUCUUAUAAAUUUUUCUUUAUAAGUUGUUCUUAAUCCAACAUCGAGGUCGCAAUUUAUUUUGUAAAUGAGAACUUCUCAAAAAUUUUGCGCUGUUAUCCCUUAGUAACUUGUUUUAUUUCAUAUUUGGAAAAAUUAAAUUUGAUUUAAAUCAUUUUUUUUAUAUCUAAAGAUUUAUUUAUUUAAAAAUCUCCCCAAUCUAACAAAUUAACCAAAUGAAAUUAAGUUAAUUUGUAAAGUUCUAAAGGGUCUUCUUGUCUUUUGAUUUUAUUUAAGAUUUUUCACUUAAAUAUUAAUUUUUACUACUUUAGUUUAAAAAGCUUGUUUCACAUUAUUUCUUUCAUUCAAGCUUUUAAUUAUAAAGCAAGUUAUUAUGCUACCUUAGUACAGUUAAUUUACUGCAGCUAUUUAAUUUACUCAUUGAGCAGAAUUUAUCUAA